GGAGCAGGAAUCCCGGGAUAAGGACGGAUACCCAUGGAAGCUCCCGGAAUUCCCGAGUUUUUCCUGGACUGGCUCUGCUCGGAAUUCCCACCAGGAUUGGGAUUUCUGGCCUGAAUCUCAGCUGGAGCAGAGAAUUCCCAUUGAAUUCCUGAUCCCUUUUCCAAGGAAUUUUGGGCUCCCGCCCUUCCCGGGAAAACUGGAGACCCGCAGCAUGAUGGAAUCCCGGAUCCGGCGGCUGGCGACGACGCUGAUGGACGCGACCACGGAUAAAGAUCCGGAAGUUCAGGAGCAAAUCAGGAAUUCCCUCUGUGCCCUGGGAGACGCCGAUCCCGAGGAAAUCCUGGAAUGUUGUGGGGAGUACCUGAGGCAGCAUGACAAGGUUG